GUGCUGGCUUCAGCAGCACACAUACUAAAAUUAGAACCAUACAGAGAAUAGUGUGGCCUCUGCACAAGGAUGACAUGCAAAUUCAUGAAGCAUUCCAUAUAAUU
ensembl:snRNA U6 U6 spliceosomal RNA